AACGCGAAGAACCUUACCCAGGUUUGACAUGCAGAGGACAGCGCUAGAGAUAGCGUCUCCCGCGAGGGUCUCUGCACAGGUGCUGCAUGGCUGUCGUCAGCUCGUGCCGUGAGGUGUUGGGUUAAGUCCCGCAACGAGCGCAACCCUUAUUACUAGUUGCCAACACGUAAAGGUGGGAACUCUAGUGAGACUGCCCGGGUUAACCGGGAGGAAGGUGAGGAUGACGUCAAGUCCGCAUGGCCCUUAUGUCUGGGGCAACACACGUGCUACAAUGGCCGGUACAGAGGGCAGCGAACCCGCAAGGCGGAGCAAAUCCCCCAAAGCCGGCCCCAGUUCAGAUUGUAGUCUGCAACUCGACUACAUGAAGUUGGAAUUGCUAGUAAUGGCGUGUCAGCUACAACGCCGUGAAUACGUUCCCGGGCCUUGUACACACCGAGUAUA
rnacentral:rRNA from 1 species